CCUACGGGAGGCAGCAGUGGGGAAUAUUGGACAAUGGGCGCAAGCCUGAUCCAGCCAUGCCGCGUGGGUGAAGAGGGCCUUCGGGUUGUAAAGCCCUUUUGUUGGGAAAGAAAAGCAGUCGGUUAAUACCCGAUUGUUCUGACGGUACCCAAAGAAUAAGCACCGGCUAACUUCGUGCCAGCAGCCGCGGUAAU
rnacentral:rRNA from 1 species